rnacentral:rRNA from 1 species
GUGCCAGCAGCCGCGGUAAUACAGAGACUGCAAGCGUUAUUCGGAUUCACUGGGCGUAAAGGGUGCGCAGGCGGCCGUGUGUGUCAGGUGUGAAAGCCCGAGGCUCAACCUCGGAAUUGCGCCUGAAACUACACGGCUAGAGUACUGGAGAGGGUAGCGGAAUUCAUGGUGUAGCAGUGAAAUGCGUAGAUAUCAUGAGGAACACCAGAGGCGAAGGCGGCUACCUGGACAGUUACUGACGCUCAGGCACGAAAGCGUGGGGAGCAAAAGGGAUUAGAUACCCCUGUAGUCC